UAUCAACCCAUUAGUCCAACUCUUUUAGUGAUAGGUGUCAAAAAUAUUACUGCAAGACAUGAUAGCACAGUACCUUUAUGAAUGGAAUCUGGGAAUAUGUACUGCCAAAAAAUAUCAUAACCUAUUAGUCCAACUCUUUUAGUGAUAGGUAUCAAAAAUAUUACUGCAAGACAUGAUAGCACAGUACCUUUAUGAAUGGAAUCUGGGAAUAUGUACUGCCAAAAAAUAUCAUAACCUAUUAGUCCAACUCUUUUAGUGAUAGGUAUCAAAAAUAUUACUGCAGGACAUAAUAGUGCAGUACUUUUACUAAUGGAAGCUGGGAAUGCUGCCACAAAAGAUUAUAAGCCAUUAGUCCUACACCCUUAGCAGUGGGUGGUGAAGGUGUUACUGCAAGAGAUGAUGGUGCAGGACCUUUAUGAAUGGAAGCUGAAAAUGCUGCCACAAAAGAUUAUAAGCCAUUAGUCCUACACCCUUAGCAGUGGGUGGUGAAUAUAUUACUGCAAGAGAUGAUGGUGAUUUAUAUUGAUGAUAGUUACUUAUAGUGAUUCAUAAUAGUGCAGUACUGUUAUGAAUAGAAACUGAAAAUGCUGCCACAAACAAUUAUAUUUUAACAUUUAUAAGAAAAGUAGAUUAUACCCAACCCAGGAAUCGAACCACAGUAGCCUUAACCCGGUAGCAGCGGGGAUCAUGUUUCUUAAUGGUUCCUCCAAGCGAGAAAAAUGAGAAAAAAUCACCCCUCACACAAACCAUUUCAUAAUACAUAUAUAUCAAAGCAUUUCUGAUCUGAUUAUGUUUCAUCUAUUUUGGGGGGUAAAUAUCAUGGCACAAAUUUGGCCCGUCACUGCUACACGGUGAAGCCACAAAUUUGGCCCUUCGCUGCUACCGGGUUAAGUUAUGAAAGGAAUGAAAGGAACUUUUUUUUUUUUUUUGUGUGUGUGUGUGUGUGUAUGAAAAAAACACUGAUACAAAAAAAGUUCAUGUAAAUAUACAACACAGUUUUAGGUUAUUUAUUAUACACAUAAGAAAAAAAUCACCAGGAAAUGCCGUAGAGUUUUGGAGUAUUUGAUAAGAUGACUGUGUUCAACAAGGCAAUAUGGUAUAAUUUACAUAACCAAUAGUUCUUAGUUCAUACUCAGGUUCACAAGAUCUGGCAGGAGGGAAAGGGAAGGGAGAGGAGAAAAGAAAAUGAACACAGGAACAGGCAAGGAAGGGAAGGGAGCGGUGAAGGUAACAAAGGAAAGGAAAUGGAAGAGGGUGAUCAAGGAAGGAAGGGAGAAGAAGGAAAGGGAAAAAGGGUGUGUAGCAAAGUAAUGGAAGAAAGGGAGAAAUAGAAAAGGGAAAAGAGUGUACAAGGAAGGAAGGGAGCAGAAGGAAAGGGAAAAGGGUGUUCAGGGAUGGAAUGAAAGAAAGGAAAGAGAAAAAAGGGGUGUUUAGCAAAGGAGUGGAAGGAAGAAAGGGAAGAGGGUGUACAAGGAAUGAAAGGAAGGAAGGGAAUGAGGGAAAGAAUAAAAGAAAUGUGUUCAGGGAAGGAAGAAUAAAGAAGAAAGGAAAAAUAAUGUUGGAGAAAAGAAAUGGAAUAGAGAAAAGAAAUUACUGAAUGAAACAAGGAGAAGGAAGAUAUUGUAGGAGAGUAGAAUAACAGAAGGAAGAAUAAAGAAGAAAGGAAAAAUAAUGGAGAAAAGAAAUGGAAUAGAGAAAAGAAAUUACUGAAUGAAACAAUGAGAAGGAAGAUAUUGUAGGAGAGUAGAAUAACAGAAGGAAGAAUAAAGAAGAAAGGAAAAAUAAUGUUGGAGAAAAGAAAUGGAAUAGAGAAAAGAAAUUACUGAAUGAAACAAGGAGAAGAAAGAUAUUGUAGGAGAGUAGAAUAACAGAAGGAAGAAUAAAGAAGAAAGGAAAAAUAAUGUUGGAGAAAAGAAAUGGAAUAGAGAAAAUAAAUUACUGAAUGAAACAAUGAGAAGGAAGAUAUUGUAGGAGAGUAGAAAAACAGAAGGAAGAAUAAAGGGAAGGGGGUAACUAGUGUAAUUUCUUGCCAACACAAAUGUCUACCUAAAAUAAUGACUCCACUCCCUUCAUGAGCUGUACUGAGGUCGACUGACUGAUUGAAGGUUUGGAGUGACUGACAGACUGACUGGUAGGAGGUGUGAAGUGACUGACUGACUAGAGAUGAGGUGACUGACAGACUAACUGGAGGUGUGAAGUGACUGACUGGAGAUGAGAUUAUUGACUGACUGAAGAUGAGGUGUUUGACUGACUGGAGAUGAGGUGACUGACUGACUGGACUUAUGAGAAGACUGACUGAUUGGAGGUGAGGAGACUUGCUAACUGGAUAGAGAUGACUGACUGACUGAAGAUGAAGUGACUGAUUGACUGACUGACUGGAGUUGUGACCUGACAGACUGGAACUGUGACAUGACUGACUGACUGAAGAUGAGGUGACUGACUGACUGACUUACUGACUGACUGGAAUUGUGACAUAACUUACUGACUGACUGGUAAUGAUUUGACUGACUGGAGUUGUGAGAUGACUGACUAGUGAGGUGACUGUUAACUCAUCCUCUCAUCACCCGACUGACUUUGACCUCAUCAAAAAAAAAGAAAAAAGAAAAAAAGGAAAAUAAACAAACUUCUUAAUCUAUACUGCUUGAAUGUCCUUCUUCUGUACAGCUUGUCAAUAAAACCUUGAUAAAUA